UUUCCCGCCUGCGGAGCCCUUUAAAAGACGUGGCCCCACCCCGACCGACCUCAUUGGCUGGUCGGGGGGUGACGCAGGCGGGAACCUACCAUCACGUAGGGGCUGAGCUCGCAGCACCUACGUGAUGGUUCAGUUGGGCAGCCCACAACCCCACCUCCGGCGCAGGCGCGGAGGUGGCUUUGGCGAGUCAAGCCUUCUGUAGAAUGUAUUUCUCAAACUACUGAGUCACCACUGCCUUCUGAAAUUAUGAAGCCAAAAUUGAACUAAAGUUGGCACUUUGAUACUUCCCUUCUACAAAAUUAUAUUAUCUUAAUUCCAGGGUCUAUAUUGCACCAGUCUUUAAGAGGGAUGCUGGGAAACUAAAUCAGAAACGUACAUUAAAAGCAUAUUUUUAAAAGGGAAAUGUAAUUGUGAAUGGCAUUCUGCACAUAGAUUAUAGAAUUAAAAAUCACAUACCUGCUCUUUUGACUGUAGCGUACAACCUGUGCUGUGACACAAGUGCCUGAACAGAUUUGAAAGCCUUUUAAACCUGACAGCCUGGCCAUGAUAUACUUUUGUCUUUGCUGACACUAAUGCAACAUGUCAUAAAAUGUAGCAGCCCUCAGGUAUUUUCUCCUUUUUUUUAAAGAGCCAAACGCCUUCUGCAACAGCAUUUGUGACUCUACAUAAAUUCUAGUACAGCAGGCACCUACAUUGUAACUGCACUGUAUUCAGUGAUAGACUAAUGACACCUUGGGAACUUAACCACCCUGGUAGUGAUCCUGGUAGUGGGUGAUCUGGUUAUUAGGGACAUAGAUAGCUAGGUGUGUGGCGGGCAUUGUUGAUGAAUUAAAAACUGGUCCCAAUGGCAUCUGCUUGAGAGUUAUUAGAAGAAUUCAGAUGGGAAAUGGCUGAUCGUCUUAACAUUAUCAUUACAUGCCACCCCAAUCUCUUGAGUGCUGAGAGAUUCCAAGGGUUCCAAGCACUGACCCAGGCUCUGGUUUCCUUGGAAUGAGGGUCAGCAGAGACUGUGGCAUCCAGGAAUGCUGAGAUCCAGCUCUGUCUCGGGUGCCAUGGAAGAGUUUGCUGUUGGAAGGUUGCAGUGCCUUGGUGUUGCUGUAGAGACUGAUGUGGGAGAGAUGUUUUGCUGCAGCAGGGGCAGAUGAAGGCACCCGGUUGUGCUGCUGCAGAUGUACCAUGGCGUUUCUUCUCUAUGUGCUCCUCCCAGAGGUCGUUUCUCCUCUGGUCCAUAGCAAUGUAUCCAUAACAGUGACCAGAGGUGUUCAGGAUAUAGGGUUUGUUUACACAUACAAUAUUCCUGCGUAUAAGACUACUUUUUAACCCAGGCAAAUCUUCUCAAAAGUCGGGGGUCGUCUUAUAUGCCGGGUCGUAUUUCCUAUACGGCAAGUAUAUCCCAAACUCUGUAUUUUAACUGGAAAAGUUGGGGGUCGCCUUAUACGCCCAGUCUUAUAAGCCGGAAUAUACGGUAUAUACAACCUGAGCAUAAGCUGGAGAGUCUCACAGUAUUAACACUCCAACAGAUUUUGCUUCUCUCUUAGUCACAGCACUAGAUUCCAACACAGAUCAAACAAGGGUCUGUGGCUCAACUUUCUGCUCAGCUCACGCACAACUACACACUUACUGUUCUUCUGACUACCAGCCAGGUGAGAGGGAAGGCCCACCCAUUUGGCCUAUGGCACAGAACAACUUCUUUGGUAAUGCUAAUCAUGGUGCAUGUGUGGCCAGCUAGUUCAGCAACAGAAUCCUGUAUCAGAUUUUAACCCUUGCUGGGUACAGGAUCCCGAGAAUUGGAAGGACAUUAUGCAGGGCAUAAUGCAGGCUGACUCCCCAAAACCUGCAGUAAUAUGUAACUUGUUACUAAGAUCAGCUUCUGUACUAGAAGAACUAGAAUGUAAUGCCUUUAAAAAAUAAAAUAAAAAAUGGAACCCUGGGGAAGGUAUCCACACUGGAAGUUACGGGCCAGUUAGCUUAAUAUCUGUUCUGGUGAAAGUUGUGGAAAUAAUGGCUUAAAAUUGUAUUACCAAGCAUAUAGUAGUACAGUGGUACCUCGGUUUAUGAACACAAUUGGUUCCGGAAGUCUGUUCAUAAACUGAAGUGAACUUUCCCAUUGAAAGUAAUGGAAAGUGGAUUAAUCUGUUCCAGACGGUCCGCGGAGUACUUAAACUGAAGCAUUCAUAAACUGAAGCGAACUUUCCCAUUGACAGUAAUGGAAAGUGAAUCCGUUCCAGAUGGGUCCGCGGCGUUCGUAAACCGAAAAUUUGUAAACCGAGGUGUUCAUAAACCGAGGAUCCACUGUAGUUGUAGUAGUAGAAGUAGAAGUAGAAGUAGAAGAAGAAGAAGAAGAAGUCUUCCUAUAGCAGAUUUUUGAACAAAUGAAUAAUAAAUAAAUGAAGAAAAGUCCAUUUUUACUUCAAUAUCUACACCUAAUUAAAGGCUCCAUUUUGGAUAGGUUGAUUGGAAUUGAAGGUAGAAAAAUGAAUGAAUGUUACCUACACAUCUGAGACCAAUACAGUAAAGUGUGGGAAAAGUCCAUGAAUGCACAGAACCACACUAUGGAUGAAACAAGUGUCUACUACCUAGAUCUAUGUCACAGAACAGAGGUUUUAUAGGACAUGUGAGUACUUUUUCUUUGUUUCCCUAGCUCAGCAUGCAGCAAAGGAUUAAGAGCUCAGUGCUGUAUGUAAUUUGGUAGUUGUUGCAAAGGUGCUUUCAGCCUUCCUCCAGAGAGAAAACUAUAUAUAGGAUUUCUAUUAAAGGCCAACGCAGCCUUAUUAGAAUUAGUGAUGUUGGUGAAGUUCCUAGUUUGGCACAUGAACCUUAUCAACUUCUAAUGCUCAGCUCUGACUUAAGGCAAGCAUUGAGGGAUACUAAAGUUCAUAUUCUGGUCAUAGAACAAAGAGGGCUGAGCUUAGUUUAUGAGCUCUGUACAUCUACAGAAUUUAGGGAGGUUGGUUGCCUCUCUCUGGGGUGAGGUAGUGGAAUUUGCUGCUGGAAUGUUUAAGCCAAGGAUCGCUAACCUUUUUGGGGUCCUGGGCACAUUUGCAAUUUGGAGGGAGUGCCCAAGGUAUCACCAUCACUUCUUUCUCCCCAGGUCAUUUCUCCUCUCUUUCAGACAAACAGAAGGAGAGAAAGAACACAAAACGCAUUAUUGCUUUUCCAAGGGGUCUGGGCAAAAGUCAAAUUCAGCAGAAUUAAAAUGGAUCAUCUUCAGAUUGCAACACUGGGUCCCCCAAAUAUCACCAUCACAUUAAAUAUGACAGUGAUAGACUGCCCACACAUUUGGUGCUUGACAACUCCAAAAACACUGUUGCAAAGCACAGGUCCUCAUGAUUUUUACAUUGAAUAACAACAAGGAAAUCAGCCCCAAGUGCCCACUGGAAGGACCAGGCCCGGCUCUAGGUGUAGUCCCGGUGGUGCGGGGCUGGCAGGGGGGGCGCUGCAGGGCAAAGCCGCACGGAAGCCAUUCUGUGCGCUGCAAGGGCGGCGGAGCGGUCUCCGCACCUCAGCGCCAGGGCGCCCGACCUGCUUAUGACGGCCCUGGGAAGGACAGACGCUGAGGCUACAAUACUUUGGCCACCUCAUGAGAAGAGAAGACUCCCUGGAAAAGACCCUGAUAAGUUGGGAAAGAUGGAGGGCACAAGGAGAAGGGGACGACAGAGGACGAGAUGGCUGGACAGUGUUCUUGAAGCUACAAACAUGAGUUUGACCAAACUGCGGGAGGCAGUGGAAGACAGGAGUGCCUGACGUGCUAUGGUCCAUGGGGUCACGAAGAGUCCGACACGACUAAACGACUAAACAACAACAACAGAACAACAAAUAAGCCUGCAAGUAAGGAAUAUAAGCAGCGGGAGGAGGGGAAUCCAACCUCAAGGAAAGCUGGAACACAG